CCUACGGGCGGCAGCAGUGGGGGAUAUUGCACAAUGGGGGAAACCCUGAUGCAGCGACGCCGCGUGUGGGAAGACGGUCCUCUGGGUUGUAAACCACUGUCCCCAGGGACGAAGAUGCCGGUACCUGGGGACGACGCUCCGGCUCACUACGUGCCAGCAGCCGCGGUAAUACGUAGGGAGCGAGCGUUGUCCGGAAUUACUGGGUGUAAAGGGAGCGUAGGCGGGGAUGCAAGUUGGGUGUAAAAACUACCGGCUCAACUGGUAGUCGCACUCAAAACUGCAGCUCUUGAGUGAAGUAGAGGCAGGCGGAAUUCCUAGUGUAGCGGUGAAAUGCGUAGAUAUUAGGAGGAACACCAGUGGCGAAGGCGGCCUGCUGGGCUGUUACUGACGCUGAGGCUCGAAAGUGUGGGGAGCAAACAGGAUUAGAUACCCUAGUAGUC
rnacentral:rRNA from 1 species